GCUACGGUGCUGGAGCAGGCAGCUACCCUGGGGCAGGAAACAACGGCUAUGGAGCAGGUAAUGGAACUGACACUGACAGACAGAAACCUAACCAACAUAUUCUCUCCUUUCAAUGGAUAGCUCACUAUUCUGUGGCAUAAAGAAAGUAAUGGAAACUCAAUCUGGCACAGGUUCCAUGUUACCUCUUCACGUACAUUCUAAUGCAUGUUAGGUGAUGUAAUUGAAAUUAUUUAAAAAGUAGAUGAUCGCUUGAGUAAUGAAUGCACCUAUGCUACAGGUCUUGGACAAGGAGGAUACCCCCAGAAUGGAGCAGGCAAAGCUUUUCGCUUUGUCUUUCUAUUUCUGUCUCUCUUUAUUAUCUUUGUCUUUCUAUUUCUGUCUCUUUUAAUAUCUUUGUCUUCUAUUUCUGUCUCUCUUUAUAUCUUUGUCUUUCUAUUUUUCUAUCUAAAUCCAUUUUUCCUCUUUCUCGCUCUUGCUCUCUAUCUCAGUGCCAGUCUGGGACAGGGAGGACCCCCGGUGGGCAGGUGGUACCCCCAGGGUGGAGCAGGUGGAUACCCACAAGGUGGAGCAGGUGGAUACCCACAGGGUGGAGGCAGGUGGAUACCACAGGUGGAGAAGGUGGAUACCCACAGGGUGGAGCAGGUGUAUACUCCCAGGGUGGAGCAGGAGGAUACCCCCAGGGUGGAGCAGGAAAACCAGGCAAAGCUGGCGGUGGUGCUAAUCUGGGACAGGGAGGAUAUCCCCAGGGUGGAGCAGGAGGAUACCCCCAGGGUGGAGCAGGCAAAUCAGCGGGUUAUGGUGAUCAAAUGGGAGGAGCAUACCCCGGGGCUGGAGCGGGCAACGGCUAUGGGAAUGGUGGAGGCCCAGCUGGGGGGGCCAAUGCAGUGCCUGCAGGCUAUGGCAAUGGCUACGGUGCUAGUACUGGAGGCAAUGGUUAUGGACCCGGGAUUGGGUACCCAACAGUGUUAGCGGAUGGUGCUGCUGGGCUGGGAGGCAAGGCAGGGAAGGGAGCAGGAGGGGGAGGAGUCAGUCAGCUUCCUUACAAUGGAGCCCCAGUCAAUACUGCUGGACUGGAUGCAGGUGAUGGAAGCUUCCCUUAUGGUGCUCAGCAACUGGGCCUUGGUGGUGGUGAUGGAGGCAAAUCCUCUGGCAAAUAUGGCAACGGUGGAUUGCCACAGGGUGCACAACAGGGUGCACAGCCUUAUGGACCUGCGACUGGUGGUGGGAAACCACCUUGCAAAAAUGGAAACGGAGGGGGCUUUGGAGCACAGCCAGCAGGCUAUGGUCAAGGACAGCUGGGUGCAGGUCAGAGUGCCCCGUACAGUAACGGUAAGUUAUAA
rnacentral:lncRNA from 1 species